CUAACAUGGAUACCCCGGGAGGUCACUCUUCCCAGGCUCUGUCCACGUGGCAUAGGGGAGCAUAGGGCUCUGCCCCACAAUGUUGGAGAAGAGGCUGGGCCUUGUAUCUGUGCCUGUAUAUUCCAACAACUUCUCAGAGUCCUUUGGGCAGUGACUGAGGAGAUAAACCAUGCAGGAAACAAUG
ensembl:snoRNA SNORA73 Small nucleolar RNA SNORA73 family